AUUCGAUGCAACGCGAAGAACCUUACCAGAUCUUGACCAUCCUCAGAAUCGAUUAGAAGUAAUUGAGUGCCUUCGGGAACUGAGAGACAGGUGGUGCAUGGCUGUCGACAGCUCGUGUCGUGAGAUGUUGGGUUAAGUCCCGCAACGAGCGCAACCCUUAUCGUUAGUUACCAUCAUUAAGUUGGGGACUCUAGCGAGACUGCCUGCGAAGAGCAGGAGGAAGGUGGGGAUGACGUCAAGUCAUCAUGCCCCUUAUGACCUGGGCUACACACGUGCUACAAUGGCUGGUACAACGAGUCGCAAGCCGGUGACGGCAAGCUAAUCUCUUAAAGCCAGUCUCAGUUCGGAUUGUAGGCUGCAACUCGCCUACAUGAAGUCGGAAUCGCUAGUAAUCGCGGAUCAGCACGCCGCGGUGAAUACGUUCCCGGGCCUAGUACAC
rnacentral:rRNA from 1 species